rnacentral:tRNA from 2 species
GCCCGGCUAGCUCAAUCGGUAGAGCGUGAGACUCUUAAGUCCUAGUUCAUCUCAAGGUUGUGGGUUCGACCCCCACGUCGGGCU